UGUGGUCUACCGGCGUCCAACAACCCCUGUCUGAUUUUACCCAAUGUAAUGCCUGUUGUGCUGCUGCCUUGUAUGAAUUUCGUCCACUGGAUGGCAGAAUUUGGCUCAAAAGGAGUUUGCGGACCGUUUCAUCCAACAUGUGCCCAAUCACGCUUUGGCCUAUGGUGGGGCAUCUACUUUUUCUUAUUAAACUCCCGUAACUAAUUUUGUUGACGUAUGAUAGUCUCCCUUUUGUUGGUAUUGUUUCUAACCCAAAAUUGGCUUGCGUUGUUCAAGGCGGACACAGGUACUGACUCAUGGAAUCAUCCCUUUAAAUGGUAUCUUACAUUAAAUCCAAUUUUACCAUGGGCAUAGUAUAAUGUUAAAAGUAAACUGUGCCUUCGUGGUUUUUAAAUCAUUUGGGGAACUAUUUCAAAUAAUUUGCAUGUGGUGCUUAUUAACCUCAGUGCAUACCCAGAGUUUGGUCCAGGGUGAACCCCAGGAAAUGCAGUCUGUAGUGCUGGUAGGGGGUUUGACCAGCAUCUUGUUUUUCAAGAACCUCAUGCAUUUAACUGGUGUACCCGUAAGCUUUGUGAUGGGCCCCCUUCCCUCUUCCCACCUCUUGUCAAUUGCCUGAAUUAACUUUUCUGGUGUCCUGAGAACCAAUAUGUGUAUGCAAUGUGUUAAUACGUGGAGAAGUUCUCUUAUGGUUCCUUUUUUUUGGAACUUACUUUUUUAUUUGUGGUUUUUAUUUGUGUCAACGUUUUUGCUGACCCAACUGACAGCAUGCGCCUCAAAUUGUUUUCCUUUUUGUGCCCCAUGGUCCACGUUUUUGGCUUGUGGUAUGGUGUACUGUACGUUAUUUUGUCUAUAAUGUUAGUUUUGUGGUUGGCGGUCACAUUGGAAUUGCACAUGGUUUUGGAGCGUUCUGCAAAUUUGGAACAAACUUGUAUUAAGGCUGGUGUACUUGGUUGAGGUUGCCCUAUCCAGGAUGCUUUGGUUUUUCCCAUGCAAAGUUACAGAUAGUUUUUUGAGGUAAGAUUUAGGGGAAGCUGUACAUCAAACUUUAUGCAAUUAAUCUUUUAGGUUUUUUAGUGGUUUACCAUUAAGGUCUCAUUGAUUUAUGUUUUUAAUCUACACCCCAACAACCUACAACGGAUUUUGAACUUACUUUUGUCAAAAUGUAAACACCUUUUCGCUCUCUAAGGAUAGUCCACUGUCUGCUCAGUGGUUUCCUGUCAUGUGUGUGCGUGCGCCUUUUUUUUUCCCGCAAUGCGCAGCGAAUGUCGCACGCUGCAAAAAGACGCACGAAACCCAACCAACCACAACACACAAUGCUAGACAGCCAAUCACAACUAAACAUCUACCCAGUGCACAGAACAGUCUGGAAGCCAGCCUGCGCGCCACCACAAGCAAGAGGAGACACUGCGGAAUACCCUUAGCCAUUGAAUUGCUUGAAAGAAAACAGAAGCCGACACAAAGUAGAGCUGUGGAAGUCCCGACUUCAUUGCUUACCGGAAGCCCAUCUUUUGAAGACUGCAAGCAAAAUGUCAGAUUCCAAUACCGAGGCUGAAAGUUCCACUGAAACCCCAGCUCAGACUACCCGUAAACGAUCUCCCCCAUUUUCACGGGCAGAAUUAAUUUUCUUAGUGGCAUACAUGGAAGAAAGGGAAUAUGGCUUUGGCGAAAGAGGCUCAAUCAACAGCA